rnacentral:rRNA from 1 species
CGGUGUGGUAAAUCUCAUGUGAAAUCGUCAGGCUCAACCUGACGGCGAGCUUGGGACACUGCCACGCUUGAGACCGGGAGGGGUCAAAGGUAUUCCAAGGGGAGCGGUAAAAUGUGAUAAUCCUUGGAAGAUCGCCUAUGGCGAAGGCAUUUGACCAGAACGGAUCUGACGGUGAGGGACGAAGGCCAGGGGAGCGAUCCGGAUUAGAUACCCGAGUAGUCCUGGCAGUAAACGCUGCGAGCUAGAUGUUGCACAUCUUAAGAGGGUGUGCAGUAUCGAAAGGAAGCUGAUAAGCUCGCCGCCUGGGAA